AUCCUUCACUCCCUUUUUCUUCCUCCUCCUCCCUCCUUGCCCAUCAUCCUCUGACUUUUAUAUUUCAAAAACAAAACAAAACCCACCAGUAAGAUAUACGUUCUUUUUGUAAACUCAAAACUUUUUAAAAUAUACUAACUCAAUCACAUUUGUAAAUUAAAAGACAUAGAAAACUUACAGAGCUAGAACUAGAGCUUGAACUGGAGGAGCGACGAAGUCUUCCUGCAGCCUGAUCGGUGGGAUGGUGUCUGGCUGGUUCAGUGGAGAUUAGAUCUGACACCGUUGUCGGAUGUGUGGUUGCACCACCACCGUAAGCACCGGCACCAUAGGUUCCAAAACCAAAACCUGUGGAAGUUGGAGGGGUGGUGGUUGCUACACCCGUAAGGUGGAUAGGGUUGCCGUGUUCAUCAGUUAACUUAACUGGAUUACCGAAUUCAUCAGUGAGUUUGAUUGGGUUUCCAUGUUCGUCUCUUAAUUGAACUCCCGCCAUUUUCAACUUGCU
rnacentral:lncRNA from 1 species